rnacentral:tRNA from 1 species
GGAGAGAUGGCUCAGCAGUUAAGAGCACUGGUGUUCUUCCAGAGGACCUGGGUUCAAUUCCCAGCACCC